AGGGUCGGCCGGGAGUUGAACCCGGGAACUCUCGCACCCAGGGCGAGAGAAUCAUACCCCUAGACCACCGAGCC